rnacentral:rRNA from 1 species
AUUGAACGCUGGCGGCAUGCCUUACACAUGCAAGUCGAACGGCAGCACGGGUUCUUGCACCUGGUGGCGAGUGGCGAACGGGUGAGUAAUACAUCUGAACAUGUCCUGUAGUGGGGGAUAGCCCGGCGAAAGCCGGAUUAAUACCGCAUACGAUCUACGGAGGAAAGCGGGGGACCUUCGGUCCUCGCGCUAUAGGGUUGGCCGAUGGCUGAUUAGCUAGUUGGUGGGGUAAAGGCCUACCAAGGCGACGAUCAGUAGCUGGUCUGAGAGGACGACCAGCCACACUGGGACUGAGACACGGCCCAGACUCCUACGGGAGGCAGCAGUGGGGAAGUUUGGACAAUGGGCGAAAGACUGCUCCAGCAAUGCCGCGUGUGUGAAGAAGGCCUUCGGGUUGUAAAGCACUUUUGUCCGGAAAGAAAUCCUUGGCCCUAAUACGGUCGGGGGAUGACGGUACCGGAAGAAUAAGCACCGGCUAACUACGUG